rnacentral:rRNA from 1 species
AGAACGAACGCUGGCGGCAUGCCUAACACAUGCAAGUCGAACGAGACCUUCGGGUCUAGUGGCGCACGGGUGCGUAACGCGUGGGAACCUGCCUUUAGGUUCGGAAUAACUCAGAGAAAUUUGAGCUAAUACCGGAUAAUGUCUUCGGACCAAAGAUUUAUCGCCUUUAGAUGGGCCCGCGUAGGAUUAGCUUGUUGGUGGGGUAAUGGCCUACCAAGGCGACGAUCCUUAGCUGGUCUGAGAGGAUGAUCAGCCACACUGGGACUGAGACACGGCCCAGACUCCUACGGGAGCAGCAGUGGGGAAUAUUGGACAAUGGGCGAAAGCCUGAUCCAGCAAUGCCGCGUGAGUGAUGAAGGCCUAGGGUUGUAAAGCUCUUUUACCCGGGAUGAUAAUGACAGUACCGGAGAAUAAGCUCCGGCUAACUCCGUAGCCAGCAGCCGAC